rnacentral:rRNA from 1 species
AAAACAUGAAUAACCUGCCCGCCACAGUGCGCAAUAACCCCGGAACACCGGUGCUAAUACCACAUAUUCUGCUGAGAUCUGUGGAUCCGACAGGCAAUGGAGCAAUUAGAUUGUAGAGGGGUCCGCGGGUGAUUAGUAGUUAGUUAGGUAAUGACUCACCAAGUCUACGAUCAGUAGCCCAUUUGGAGUACGAUAGGCCACACUGCAACUGAGACACGGUCCAGAGUCCUACGGAGUCAGCAAUGGGGCAUUUUUGGCUAUGGGGGAAACCGUGAAGAAGCGACCCGCCUGGAUGAUGAAGUAUCUCGGUACGUAAAAUCCUUUCGACGGGGCGAAGCCGCAAGGUUGACGGUACCCGUAGAAGAAGCCCCGGCUAACUCCUGCCAGCAGCCGCGGUAAU